CAGGGGAUAUUUUAAAUAAAAUGUAAGCUUUGGGAGUUUAUAAUGGGAACACUUUCCUCCCCUGA
rnacentral:tRNA from 1 species